GCUCCCUUGGAGCAGUGGUUACCUCAGUAAGUUUCCAUUCUUAGAAAUGCGCUGUGUCAUUAACCAAAUGACUAACAUUCACACUAGUCGCUCUUAUAUGGCAAGUAACAUUGUCGAUAUGCUAGAAAUGCGAAGAUCGCCAGUUCAAUCCUGGCAGGGAGCA
rnacentral:tRNA from 1 species